rnacentral:rRNA from 1 species
GAUGAACGCUGGCGGCGUGCUUAACACAUGCAAGUCGAACGAUGAAGCCCAGCUUGCUGGGUGGUUUAGUUGCGAACGGGUGAGUAACACGCAAGUAACCUGCCCUUGACUCUGGCAUAAGCCUGGGCAGCUGGGUCUAGUACUGGAUAUGACUUCUCAUCGCCUGGUGGGGUGAGGAGUGAUCGAUUGGUCUUAGAUGGACUCGCGGCCGAUCAGCUUGGUGGUGAGGUAAUGGCUCACCAACGCGUCGACGGGUAGGCGACCUGUGAGGGUCAACGGCCACCAUGGGACUGAGACAGGGACCAGACUGGAACGGGAGGCAGCAGGCGGGAACAUGGCGCAACGAGCGCACGCCUGUUACAGCGACGCCCCGUGAGUGAUACCCGGCUUCUGGUGGUAAACCUCUUUCAGUAGGGAAAUAGACAUAUUGACGGUACCUGCAGAAGAAGCGCCGGCUAACUACGUG